rnacentral:tRNA from 1 species
GCUUGGGUGGCUCAGUCGGUUAAGCAUCUGACUUCGGCUCAGGUCAUGAUCUCGCGGUUUGUGAGUUCAAGCCCCGCAUCAGGCU